rnacentral:tRNA from 1 species
UGUCAAGGGAUGGGAAUCGAACCCAUGACCUUCCGCAUACCGGGCAGAUGCCAUGACCACUAGGCUACCCUGGAC